AAUAUGUCUAAUAGUACUGCAACUGACAUCGAAAAAGACGCUUAGUUAACGAGUUUAAUGGUCCGGAAUAACACACGGCUGCAAAUUGUUUUAAAUGAUAGAAUAAUAUCUAUAUUUUAAUUUCCGUCGGGUCGUAAAAAGUUUCUAUGGUCACAUUUUUGUAUUUUAUCCCUUUAAUGGGGGUACCCCUCAAUUUACGGUUUUGGGUAGUUACCUUAAAAUCCAAAAAUAUAUUUUUUGGUUAAAUUUCCCGCUAUUUUCGUAAAAAUUUUCUAUGCACAUAUCAUCAAGGAUCAUCGGAAUGAUGAAGACAUAAAUAUAAUACCAUCUCCAAGUAAAACUUUCAAACUUAAAGUUGGCUGUUUUUUUAGAUAGAAAUUUAACGCGUUUUUCUUUGAAAACGAGAAAACAUAUGAUUCAAAAACAGUAUUUGACAUUUGAGAGGACAAAACAUAUUAUUGCGAUACUGCAUGCAAAUUUUGUUGGGCAAAUUCCAAACAAUUUUGUCAAAAACUCAAAAAUAAAAACAUCAUUUGUACCUUUUUUAAUUACGGAAAUUUCCUAUCCGUCAAUCAGCUCCACCAUUUAUUUUUUCCUUCACAAUCAAUUUGAUAGUUUCGAUGUGAUUAUGUAGAUUUUGUAGGAGAAGUUAAUUUAUUUUUGAGUGAUUUGAAUAUAUAUAGUAGUUCUUUCGUGUAUUUU
rnacentral:lncRNA from 1 species